UACGGGGGGAGCAAGCGUUGUUCGGAUUUACUGGGCGUAAAGCGCGUGUAGGCGGCCAGACAGGUCAGCUGUGAAAACUCGAGGCUCAACCUCGAGACGUCGGUUGAAACCGUCUGGCUAGAGUCCGGAAGAGGAGAGUGGAAUUCCCGGUGUAGCGGUGAAAUGCGCAGAUAUCGGGGAAGAACACCCGUGGCGAAGGCGGCUCUCUGGGACGGUACUGGACGCUGAGACGCGAAAGCGUGGGGAGCGAACAGG
rnacentral:rRNA from 1 species